GGAUUGUCUGUUUUCUGCAGGAAAGUGAUUUCUGGUGCUCUCAAGAAGACUUGGUGGUGUGGAACCUGGCAGCCUACUCAGUCAGUAGUAAGCUACAAGCAAACAAGAUACAAAUCACAAAGCUCACGGAGGAGAGGUUGAACACAUCCUCAGUAACGAAAAAGCUCUCAAAGAUAUCAGGGAGCUGUCCUGUCUAAGCAUGGCAAGCACAUCACCCUGAAAUGUCAUGGAAAAGAUCCAGUUUGAGCCAGUCUCUGCCAGCUAACCAGGCUGUUGAAAUGUCAGAUGGUAAAAACAAGCAAGAGUUCCAGAUGAGGCAACUGGAAGAGAAACAUGACAAAGAUGGUAAUGGGAAGGCUUCAGAUUCUAACUUAACUGAGAGUCCCGUAUCCUCACCUGUGACUUCCAAAUCCACUUCUGUCCAAGCCCUUAUGCUAAGC
rnacentral:lncRNA from 1 species